GAUGAAGAACGUAGCAAAAUGCGAUACUUGGUGUGAAUUGCAGAAUCCCGUGAACCAUCGAGUUUUUGAACGCAAGUUGCGCCCGAAGCCAUUAGGCCGAGGGCACGCCUGCCUGGGCGUCACACGUCGUUGCCCCCCCCAUCUACUCCUUCGGGAUUGCGGGGGGCGGAUGAUGGCCUCCCGUGCGCCUCGCCGCGCGGUUGGCAUAAAUGCCAAGUCCUCGGCGAUGCACGCCACGACAAUCGGUGGUUGCGAAACCUCGGUUGCCCGUCGUGUGCGGUCGUCGCGCAUCGAGGGCUCGAAAAAAUUGCCGGGUUCCGGCUCGGCUUUCAACGCGACCCCAGGUCAGGCGGGGUUACCCGCUGAAUUUAAGCAUAUCAAUAAGCGGAGGA
rnacentral:misc_RNA from 1 species